AUUCCAGCUCCAAUAGCGUAUACUAAAGUUGUUGCAGUUAAAAAGCUCGUAGUUGAAUUUCUGGUCGUGGCGACCGGUCCGCCCCUCACGGGGUGUGCACCUGGUCUCUACGUCCAUCCUCGGGGAGAGCGCGUCUGGCAUUCAGUUGUCGGGCGCGGGAUCCUCGUCAUUUACUGUGAGCAAAAUAGAGUGUUCAAAGCAGGCUUAGGCCGUUGAAUACAUUAGCAUGGAAUAAUAAGAUAGGACCUUGGUCUAUUUUGUUGGUUUGCAUUCCAAGGUAAUGAUUAAUAGGGAUAGUUGGGGGUGCUAGUAUUCAGCGGCCAGAGGUGAAAUUCUUGGAUUCGCCGAAGACUAACUUAUGCGAAAGCAUUCACCAAGGAUGUCUUCAUUA
rnacentral:rRNA from 1 species